UCUGCUUUGGUUUUUGAAGCAAUUUGAAAUGGCUAAAAGUUCUCUCAUGUUAAUUAUCGUUCUUUUCUUCAUUAUUUCGGUUAUAGAAAUGGCAAUGGCGAAAGAAUGUAACAGGACUCUUGCAGGACAAUGCGACGCCGGAGCCUGUGAAGCAUGGUGCUUUAAGACUUACAGUGGUCACGGAAAUUGUGUACAGGCUAAAUGUGUUUGCUCAUAUAUUUGUGACACCUAGAACAAAUUUAACAUUUUGAUCUAUGUUAGAUGUAAAAUCAUAUCAAAAUAAAAUUGGCAAAGUGAGAGGGUGUGGACAUGUGAAAUACGAUAAAAUUGAGCCAAAAAUUCUAAACCCAUUAUCCCACAGGUGUUGAAUUUUUUUUUGAAUAAAAUGAGGUAUUUGAUUUUGUUUAAUAAA